GGCUGGCAAAGAGAAGGGAGCGUGGAGCCGCCAUUUUGAACAUACCUAGACCAGGUGGCCUUUUCCUAUGGGCACAGCUGCCAGCAUUCACCCGUAAAAAGAAAAAACCAAACUGCAGAAGCAGAGAGAGGAUGAGCUAAUCCAGAAGAUCCACAAACUGGUGCAGAAGAGAGACUUCCUGGUGGACGAUGCGGAGGUCGAGCGGUUAAGGGAGCAAGAAGAAGACAAGGAAAUGGCUGAUUUCCUGAGAAUCAAGUUAAAACCUCUAGACAAAGUAACCAAAUCUCCAGCCAGCUCCCGGGCAGAGAAGAAAGCAGAGCCCCCACCUAGCAAGCCCACGGUGGCCAAGACGGGGCUGGCACUGAUCAAGGAUUGUUGCGGGGCCACCCAGUGCAACAUCAUGUAGCCCCCACGUGGGGUGCCCUGGGCCAUGGGGACCCCCCCCCCACCCUCUUGUCUUUAUAGCCCCCAUUUCACCGGGGCCCAAGAGCUCUCCAAGGCAGAAGGGGUUGAAGGCAAGCCCGUGACUGUCACCAGAGGCCAUGGGCACGGCAGGCGGGCCUGGCCACCCUGUACAGAGUGUAGCAGUAGGGAGUCUCUCACCGUCGCAUGGUCCUCCCCAGAGCAUGCCGAACCCAGGAGUCUGUCUCACUGUUUAUCCAAACACCAGGAAAGGUCCUCCCUCAAAAAAGCAUAUCUCCACUUCUCUCUAGCUGUAUCUAACCCACCGUGUGAAUGAACUGGGAGAGGGGCAUGCUCCCCAGCUGUGUGUAGUCGUGACUUCUCAACAAUCUAGCACCAUGUCGGACACGUUCCCCAUCCACCCUCCUAGCUCUGCUCUCAGAGCUAGGCACAUGGGCACAGGUCCCCUCCCGUCUGUCCUCUCCCAGCAACUGUGCCCUGGAGGGCUCCACAUGGCCCCCGUGUCUCUCGGG
rnacentral:misc_RNA from 1 species